rnacentral:misc_RNA from 1 species
AAUUUUUGCUCAUAUAUGAAGAAAAUUGGGUAUCUUGGCCAUGUUUAUCUAAACUUGUUGAAAUAUCAGGAAAACAGAGCAGAUUUGCAGAGGAGCAAAAUGAUUGAAUUUCAUUUGACAGAGAUUCUUGAUCCCCUGUUGCUAGCUUUGAGUAUUUUGCAAAUUGUGCAGCAUUUAAUGGUGAAGCUUUGUUCAGAAGAAACCAUGGUUUGGGUAAUUUAUUUGAAAUUCGUUUGUUCCAGUAACGAAUUGAAUAAGCUUUUGGUGUAAAAGGGUUUACAGAGUCGCCGGAGUUUUCUCUGUUUCCG